UCGGGAAUUUUGGGCAAUGGGCGAAAGCCUGACCCAGCAACGCCGCGUGAAGGAUGAAGUAUUUCGGUAUGUAAACUUCGAAAGAAUAGGAAGAAUAAAUGACGGUACUAUUUAUAAGGUCCGGCUAACUACGUGCCAGCAGCCGCGGUAAUACGUAGGGACCAAGCGUUGUUCGGAUUUACUGGGCGUAAAGGGCGCGUAGGCGGCUUGACAAGUCACUUGUGAAAUCUCUGGGCUUAACCCAGAACGGCCAAGUGAAACUGUCAUGCUAGAGUGCAGAAGGGGCAAUCGGAAUUCUUGGUGUAGCGGUGAAAUGCGUAGAUAUAGGAAGGAACACCAGUGGCGAAGGCGACCACCUGGACUGAUACUGACACUGAGGUGCGAAAGCGUGGGGAGCAAACAGGAUUAGAUACCCAGGUAGUCCCUGAGCGGGCUGGCAAGG
rnacentral:rRNA from 1 species